CUUGAACACUUUGAUAUCUAACCAUGACCCCUUAUCGGGGUUUGGGACCCUGUAUGGUGGGUAGUUUGACUGGGGCGGUCGCCUCCUAAAGAGUAACGGAGGCGCGCGAUGGUGAGCUCAGGCUGGUCGGAAAUCAGCUUAGAGAGUGCAAUGGCAUAAGCUCGCCUGACUGCGACACCGACAGGUGGAGCAGAGACGAAAGUCGGUCA
rnacentral:rRNA from 1 species